GACGAACGCUGGCGGCGUGCUUAACACAUGCAAGUCGAACGGAAAGGCCUGCUUUCCCUUGUGGAUUGCGGGUACUCGAGUGGCGAACGGGUGAGUAACACGUGAGUGAUCUGCCCCCAACUUGGGUAUAAGCCUGGGAAACUGGGUCUAAUUCCCGAUAGGACUGCAGGGUGGUGCCUGUGGUGGAAAACGAUUUUCUAGUGGUUGGGGAUGAGCUCGCGGCCUAUCAGCUUGUUGGUGGGGUAAUGGCCUACCAAGGCGGCGACGGGUAGCCGGCCUGAGAGGGUGGACGGGCACAUUGGGACUGAGAUACGGCCCAGACUCCUACGGGAGGCAGCAGUGGGGAAUAUUGCACAAUGGGCGGAAGCCUGAUGCAGCGACGCCGCGUUGGGGAUGACGGCCUUCGGGUUGUAAACUCCUUUCGACCGCGAGGAAGCCACCUGGUUGGAAGGGUGGUGACGGUAGUGGUAGAAGAAGCACCGGCUAACUACGUG
rnacentral:rRNA from 1 species